UAUUAUAAGAAUUUGUCACUGUCAAAAGAAGAAUUACAAAAACGAAGGAAUCAAUGCUCGCGGCAUCGUCACCAAUAUGAGAGGCCAAAGACACCAGAAGGUUUUUGGGACCCAGAAUUUCCUGAAACAUUAUCGUCCACUUAUCGACAAGAUACAAGAUGAAAUGUGUUAUCAUUCGAAUCUGCUUUUCAAGACUUUAAUGUGACUCACAUAUGUAUAGGACAGAGAUAUUGGGUGCUUUCCAACAAACAACACAGGCGACACUGUGUCCAUUAGUGUGAGUGAGACAACUAAAAUCUCACACUAAUGGACACAGUCGCACUGUGUCACUAUGUGUUGCUUGUUGGAAAGCCAUCCAUUAUUACAAUAUAUAUGUAUACAAAUAAAAUUAUUAUAGCAAUGUGUUUGUUGCAAUUAUCUUGACAUUUCUACAUAAUUUAAUUAAAUAAGAGAAAAAUUAGAGAUUGCAACAAGUUCAGAAUAAAUUUAAAUAAUAACGAAAGAAGGGAGGGAGAUUACAGGAUGAAAGCAGUUCUUUAUACUUAAUAAUUUUCCAGAAUAAUCUUAUGUAAUGAUUAUAUAUUUUAAAUAUAUUAUUGAUUUAAGAUAUAAAAGUGUAUCAUGUAUUUCUAUUUCUCUAAAUAAAGAUUUUGUGUAAUAAAAAUAAA
rnacentral:lncRNA from 13 species